GGUAGAAAAGAAGAAGUUCUAUGCGAUUUGCGAGACUGAGUUUAGAAAGUCUUUGGCCAAAGUAAGUGUGAAUACUGAAAAAGAGUUUUUACGGGAUUCACAAGUGAACUCGAGUCGAGUUAAUCUAACAUAUGAUUGAUGAUGGGAUCUGACGAGUUCUCCAUAAUCUCCGUCAAGUUAAGACUCACGAUAGAAGAAUUGAAUCAUACGAUAACUACACCUAGAGGUUCACACUUUCAUUCUACUGGAUUGCCACUACAUACUGCUAGAUGUUACUGAUAGAUUGUGGGACUUAUCAGAUGUCGUCUUGAUGAUCGAUGACCCUCAAAGGAUAGAGUUGAAAUUGUUUCAACUCAUCGAAAGGAGUUUUGAUGAUAUUGUGAUAGAGAUCAGAAUAUAUCUCACUAUCAGAUAGAAUAAAACCUAUAGGAUUACAUAUUAAGAGAUUAAUCUUGAAUUAACCAAUUGAACUUAUGAAGUUCUAAUUGGGUUAGGAUUUAGUGAAAUCCUAUUG
rnacentral:lncRNA from 1 species